rnacentral:lncRNA from 1 species
UCCAAUCUACCAGUGAGGUCCACGUGGGAUUAGCUGGAGGGAGCUAUGAAGUCAAGCGGCAAGCGGCAUCAGCCCGGGAGCACUCCCCCAGCAGCAGGGGCUCACGAGGACCUGGGCAUCGGAUGUGUGCUCAGUGCACCUCUCCUCUCACCUCGUCAUGAAACCUACGGUGGGUCCUCUCGCAACAGCAGCAUCUGUGGUGACCACCUGCGGAUGGGCCACUGUACCGGGCAUUGUACUGACAAUGUCUACAUUAUCCGGUGGACUUUGCAGCAACCCUGCAGAGGGGAGCCUGAGGCUCGGAAAGGUGACAUGACCUGCCUGAAG